GCGGCCGCAGCAGGCAUCACAAACACCGCGGGGCUGAUGCAGGACCAGCCCCAGCAGGAACUCUGCCUGACUCCUCACUCCAGCACCCCCUUCUUCCAAGGCAGGGGACACGGUGGGCGUGGUACGGCGGGAGGACGGGACUCUCCACUUCUUUGUCAAUGGGAUGACUCAGGGCCCUGCUGCCUGGAACGUGCCCCCGGGCGUCUAUGCUGUCGUCGAUCUCUAUGGCCAGGCGGCCCAGGCCACCAUUGUGGACGACGUGGAGGUGCCUCCAGUUCCUGAACCACUUCCUGAGGGGAACAACCAGGUGUCUCCAAGCUCUCCGUCCUCGGGGGCCGGGGGCUCUGACCUGCGCUUCCAUCAGCUGCACGGCAGUAACGCAGUCAUCACUAAUGGGGGCCGCACCGCCCUCCGCCACAACUGUCGCAGCGAGUUUAAUGACGCCAUCGUCAUCUCCAACCGGGCCCUGCGGGAUGGAGAGCUAUUUGAAAUUGUCAUUCAGAAGAUGGUGGACCGCUGGUCAGGCUCCAUUGAGGCUGGAGUGACUGCUAUUCGCCCUGAAGACCUGGAAUUCCCCAACACCAUGACAGACAUUGACUAUGACACAUGGAUGCUGAGUGGUACAGCCAUCAUGCAAGACGGUAACACGAUGCGCAACAAUUACGGGU
rnacentral:sRNA from 1 species